AUUGAACGCUGGCGGCAGGCCUAACACAUGCAAGUCGAACGGUAACAGGAAGCAGCCUGCUGCUUCGCUGACGAGUGGCGGACGGGUGAGUAAUGUCUGGGAAGCUGCCUGAUGGAGGGGGAUAACUACUGGAAACGGUAGCUAAUACCGCAUAAUGUCGCAAGACCAAAGAGGGGGACCUUCGGGCCUCUUGCCAUCGGAUGUGCCCAGAUGGGAUUAGCUUGUUGGUGGGGUAACGGCUCACCAAGGCGACGAUCCCUAGCUGGUCUGAGAGGAUGACCCGCCACCCGGGAACUGAGACACGGCCCAGCCCCCUAGGGGAGGCAGCAGGGGGAAAUUUUGCACAAUGGGCGAAAGCCUGAUGAAGCCAUGCCGGGGUUAUGAAGAAGGCCUUCGGGUUGUAAAGUCUUUUCAGCGGGGAGGAAGGGAGUAAAGUUAAUACCUUUGCUCAUGGACGUGCCCCGCAGAAGAAGCCCCGGCUAAAUCCGG
rnacentral:rRNA from 1 species